rfam:Dipodomys ordii contig_7347, whole genome shotgun sequence.
GGUGGCUCAGUGGUAGAGUGCUUGCCUUCCAUGCAUGGGGCCCUGGGUUCGAUUCCUCAGCACCA